rnacentral:rRNA from 1 species
UUUGAUCCUGGCUCAGGAUGAACGCUGGCGGCGUGCUUAACACAUGCAAGUCGAACGAUGAUGCUGGUGCUUGCACUGGUGGAUUAGUGGCGAACGGGUGAGUAUCACGUGAGUAACCUUCCCUUGACUCUGGGAUAAGCCCGGGAAACUGGGUCUAAUACCGGAUAUGACUGGUCUCCGCAUGGGGGCUGGUGGAAAGCUUUUGCGGUUUUGGAUGGACUCGCGGCCUAUCAGUUUGUUGGUGAGGUAAUGGCUUACCAAGACGAUGACGGGUAGCCGGCCUGAGAGGGUGACCGGCCACACUGGGACUGAGACACGGCCCAGACUCCUACGGGAGGCAGCAGUAGGGGAAUAUUGCACAAUGGGCGCAAGCCUGAUGCAGCGACGCCGCGUGCGGGAUGACGGCCUUCGGGUUGUAAACCGCUUUCAGCAAGGAAGAAGCUUUUUGUGACGGUACUUGCAGAAGAAGCGCCGGCUAACUACGUGCCAGCAGCCGCGGUAAUACGUAGGGCGCGAGCGUUAUCCGGAAUUAUUGGGCGUAAAGAGCUUGUAGGCGGUUUGCCGCGUCUGCUGUGAAAGCCCGGGGCUUAACUCCGGGUGUGCAGUGGGUACGGGCAGGCUAGAGUGCAGUAGGGGAGACUGGAAUUCCUGGUGUAGCGGUGAAAUGCGCAGAUAUCAGGAGGAACACCGAUGGCGAAGGCAGGUCUCUGGGCUGUUACUGACGCUGAGAAGCGAAAGCAUGGGUAGCGAACAGGAUUAGAUACCCUGGUAGUCCAUGCCGUAAACGUUGGGCACUAGGUGUGGGGGACAUUCCACGUUUUCCGCGCCGUAGCUAACGCAUUAAGUGCCCCGCCUGGGGAGUACG